UACGGAGGGUGCAAGCGUUAUCCGGAUUCACUGGGUUUAAAGGGUGUGUAGGCGGAUAUUUAAGUCAGUGGUGAAAUCUCCAGGCUCAACCUGGAAACUGCCAUUGAUACUAUUUAUCUUGAAUUCUGUUGAGGUGGGCGGAAUACAUCAUGUAGCGGUGAAAUGCUUAGAUAUGAUGUAGAACACCGAUUGCGAAGGCAGCUCACUAAACAGACAUUGACGCUGAGGCACGAAAGCGUGGGGAUCAAACAGG
rnacentral:rRNA from 1 species